GUGUCUGACUUCCAGCAACUGCUGGCCUGUGCCAGGGUGCAAGCUGAGUUGGAGGAAAGAUGAGUGAGAGCAUCAACUUCUCUCACAACCUAGGCCAGUGUGUGGUGAUGCCAGGCAUGCCCUUCCCCAGCAUCAGGUCUCCAGAGCUGCAGAAGACGACGGCCGACUUGGAUCACACUCUUCUCAGAGCCCAGGCCAGGGGCCCCCAAGAAAGGCUCUGGUGGAGAACCUGUGCAUGAAGGCUGUCAACCAGUCCAUAGGCAGGGCCAUCAGGCACCAAAGGGAUUCUGCCAGCAUAGUGCUCCUGGACCAGUGAUACACCCGGCACCCUGUCCUGGACACGCUGUUGGCCUGGAUCUGAGCCCUGGUGGAGGUCAAAGCCACCUUUGGUUCUGCCAUUGCUGCUGUGUGGAAUUUCACCAGAAGUAGGCCUCUUCCUGACAGGCAGCUGCACCACUGCCUGGCGCUGUGCCCUUCCUUUGCUCUGCCCGCUGGAGACGGUGUUUGUCAUGGGCCUGGUCUGCAGGGAUCCUGCUACAAAGGUGAAACCCAGGAGAGUGUGGAGUCCAGAGUGUUGCCAGGACCCAGGCACAGGCAUUAGUGCCCGUUGGAGAAAACAGGGGAAUCCCGAA
rnacentral:lncRNA from 1 species